CCAGGCCCUACGGGGCGCAGCAGGCGCGAAAACUGUGCAAUGCGCGAAAGCGCGACACGGGGAGCUUGAGUGUCUUGGCAUAGCCAAGACUUUUCUUAUACCUAAAAAGUAUAAGGAAUAAGUGCUGGGUAAGACGGGUGCCAGCCGCCGCGGUAACACCCGCAGCACAAGUGGUGGUCACUUUUAUUGAGCCUAAAGCGUUCGUAGCCGGUUUUGUAAAUCUUCAGGUAAAUCCUGAAGCCUAACUUCAGAAGGCCUGAAGAGACUGCAAAACUUGAGAUCGGGUGAGGUUAAACGUACUUUCAGGGUAGGGGUAAAAUCCUGUAAUCCUGGAAGGACGACCGGUGGCGAAGGCGUUUAACUAGAACGAAUCUGACGGUGAGGAACGAAGGCUAGGGUAGCAAACCGGAUUAGAUACCCGGGUAGUCCUAGCUGUAAACACUGCCCACUUGAUGUUGCUUUUCCGUUGAGGGAAGGCAGUGUCGGAGCGAAGGUGUUAAGUGGGCCGCUUGGGAAGUAUGGUCGCAAGACUGAAACUUAAAGGAAUUGGCGGGGGAGCACCGCAACGGGAGGAAUGUGCGGUUUAAUUGGAUUCAACGCCGGAAAACUCACCGGGAACGACCUGUGGAUGAGAGUCAACCUGACGAGUUUACUCGAUAGCAGGAGAGGUGGUGCAUGGCCGUCGUCAGCUCGUACCGUAGGGCGUUCACUUAAGUGUGAUAACGAGCGAGACCCACAUCUCUAAUUGCUAAUGUAUAUGUGAAUAUACAUGCACUUUAGAGAGACCGCCAGCGCUAAGCUGGAGGAAGGAGCGGUCGACGGCAGGUCAGUACGCCCCGAAUUUCCCGGGCUACACGCGCAUUACAAAGAACGGGACAAUGCGUUGCAACCUCGAAAGGGGAAGCUAAUCGCGAAACCCGUCCAUAGUUAGGAUUGAGGGCUGUAACUCGCCCUCAUGAAUCUGGAUUCCGUAGUAAUCGCGGGUCAACAACCCGCGGUGAACAUGCCCCUGCUCCUUGCACACACCGCCCGU
rnacentral:rRNA from 1 species